rnacentral:rRNA from 1 species
AGUUUAUUUUAUUAAGAUUAAGAUAAAAUAAACGUUGUUUUUUUAUUAUGGGAAAUGUUUUUUUUAGGUCUUAAUUAAUAUCUUAAAAUUUUAUAAGGAGUGAUUAGAGUUAAACAAUAAUAAAUUUGAUUUAGUAAGGCUUUUUAUCGGAUAAAAAUAAGUGCCAGUAAUCACGGUUAUACUUAUCGAUAUAAAAAUUAUAUAAUUAAAAAUAUAUGAAUUUUUAUAAUAGUUGUGAAAAUUAAUAUAAAAAUUUUUAAUAAACUUAUUAACAUGGAUUAGAUACCCAUCUAUAAAAUAUAUUAAAUAUAAAUUAAUAUAAAUAUAAAUAAUUAGACGGUAAAUUAUAUACAGAGGUGCUUGUUUUUUAAUAUGAUAAUCCGCAUUAAUCCUAUCUUUUAUAAAGUGUAUGUCCGUUUUAUAUAAAAUUAUUUUAUAUUUUUUCAGGUCUCCAUGCUAUUAUGAUAGUUUUUUAUGAGCAGCAGUAGUUUUUUUAAUUUUUGUUGAAAAACUUAAGUAAAAGAGGAUUUGUAAGUAAAUUAAUGUUAUUAACUUUUUUUGAAUAUAUUAAUUUUGAGUACUCACCGCCCGCUAAUAAGGUUGUAAAAUUUUAUAAAGCGUAACAAGGUAAGUUUUCUAGAAAGAGAACUUGGUUAUAU